rnacentral:rRNA from 1 species
GACGUAGGGGGCGAGCGUUGUCCGGAUUUAUUGGGCGUAAAGAGCUCGUAGGCGGCUUGUCGCGUCGACUGUGAAAUCCCGCGGCUCAACUGCGGGUCUGCAGUCGAUACGGGCAGGCUAGAGUUCGGUAGGGGAGACUGGAAUUCCUGGUGUAGCGGUGAAAUGUGCAGAUAUCAGGAGGAACACCGGUGGCGAAGGCGGGUCUCUGGGCCGAUACUGACGCUGAGGAGCGAAAGCGUGGGGAGCGAACAGG